GCCAGCAUGGUAUAGCAGUUUGAGUGUUGGACUAUGACUCUAGAGAUGAGGGUUCGAUUCCCCACUUCUGGUG